CGGAGGGGCCAGACACCU
rnacentral:misc_RNA from 1 species